rnacentral:rRNA from 1 species
UACGUAGGGGGCAAGCGUUGUUCGGAAUUACUGGGCGUAAGGGCGCGUAGGCGGCACAGCAAGUCGGGAGUGAAAGCCCGGGGCUCAACCCCGGAACUGCUUUCGAAACUACUGAGCUAGAGUGCGGAAGAGGCAACUGGAAUUCCAGUGUAGCGGUGAAAUGCGUAGAUAUCGAGAGGAACACCUGCGGCGAAGGCGGGUGCUGGGCUGACACUGACGCUGAUGCGCGAAAGCUAGGGGAGCGAACGGG